AAACAAUUUAAAGUCUGUACUAAAUGUCUCCUGAUUUUCGAAGGGGCCCUAGAUUUUGGGAAAAUGUGCAUUAAGUGUGAUAUUGAGGGUAUUAAAAAAACAGUUUUCAACUUUUUUAAAUC